UACGUAGGUGGCAAGCGUUGUCCGGAAUUAUUGGGCGUAAAGCGCGCGCAGGCGGUCCUUUAAGUCUGAUGUGAAAGCCCACGGCUCAACCGUGGAGGGUCAUUGGAAACUGGGGGACUUGAGUACAGAAGAGAAGAGUGGAAUUCCACGUGUAGCGGUGAAAUGCGUAGAGAUGCGGCGGAACACCGAUGGCGAAGGCAGCCCCCUGGGCUUAAAUUGACGCUGAGGCACGAAAGCGUGGGGAGCAAACAGG
rnacentral:rRNA from 1 species